rnacentral:rRNA from 1 species
UACGUAGGGUGCGAGCGUUGUCCGGAAUUAUUGGGCGUAAAGAGCGCGCAGGUGGUUGAUUAAGUCUGAUGUGAAAGCCCACGGCUUAACCGUGGAGGGUCAUUGGAAACUGGGUCACUUGAAUAUAGAAGAGGAAAGUGGAAUUCCAUGUGUAGCGGUGAAAUGCGUAGAUAUAUGGAGGAACACCAGUGGCGAAGGCGACUUUCUGGUCUAUUAUUGACGCUGAGGCUCGAAAGCAUGGGUAGCAAACAGGAUUAGAUA